CGGGGCGUAGCUCAGUUGGUAGAGCACACGGCUGGGGGUCGUGUGGUCGCACGUUCGAAUCGUGUCGCCCCGACCA
rnacentral:tRNA from 3 species